GGGGAUGUAGCUCAGUUGGCUAGAGCGUUUGACUGGCAGUCAAGAGGUCGUGGGUUCGAAUCCCAUCUUCUCCA
rnacentral:tRNA from 6 species